AAAAGUCGUAACAAGGUCUCCGUUGGUGAACCAGCGGAGGGAUCAUUACAGAGUUGCAAAACUCCCUAAACCAUUGUGAACGUUACCUACACCGUUGCUUCGGCGGGCGGCCCCGGGGUUUACCCCCCGGGCGCCCGCCGGAGGUCACCAAACUCUUGAUACUUUAUGGCCUCUCUGAGUCUUCUGUACUGAAUAAGUCAAAACUUUCAACAACGGAUCUCUUGGUUCUGG
rnacentral:misc_RNA from 1 species